rnacentral:tRNA from 1 species
GGAAUGUGGCUCAGUGGUAGAGUUCUUGCCUCUCAUGCAUGAGGCCCUGGGUUCAAUUCCUAUCACCA